CCUUACAGAUGCAAAACUUGGGGAGUCUUCACAAGCAAUCUGGAGGAAUGAGUCUGCGGUAGAAAGGACAGUGCCUGUGAAAUUAUUACUUAAAACAGAGUCCAGAGUCUCAGGAUGUUAUCCUUGAGUGACCUGGGAAGGAGCGAACUCCUUCAUAGCUGAAGAGCAUGUGACGUUGACUGUUGUCAGGAAACUUGCAGCUGCAGGAUAACAGCCUGAAACUUUUUAAUGGGGAAGCUUCUUUUCUGUUGGCAUCCUUCUUUACUUUUAACUCAAAAGUCUCUGUAAUAUUCUGUGUUUUUAGCACUUUGGCGUUCUGAUUUCAUACUGCAAAACAGAUAAUUUGUAACUCUCCAGAUCUCACCAGUGCCUCCAAAGGAUGCAUGUUGCCUCACAGACUUUUUUUUUUUUUUCCUCUUUUAUUUCUUUUUUCCAACACAUAAAGCUAUAAACAAGCAAUGAAGAAAUCCAUCCUUUAAAAAUAGCUGGUGACGGUCAGGGCACAUGUUUUGCUACUCAUGCAGAAAAAGCGAGCAUCUGCUUUGAAGAGAAGGCUUCAAUGGCUCCAGCAGCAAUUUAUAGUCAUGAAGCUGUCAGCUUGCACCUGCACUGCAAGCAGCAAAGGAGAAGGGGAAGAGGAUGUCUCUUAUUUUAAACUCAGAGUUAUUCAGUAGAAAUCAUUCUGCUGGCCCCCUACAAUCUUAAAAAGGCCCAGUUUUAAAACUGUGAUGACUGUGCUGAGAUACAGUAGCUAAUAUGUGCUCUUCUGCCAUUAUCUUGGACUGAUCUUGAGAGUGGCUGGGGUGUAGGAUAGGAAUACAACUUACUAGUAAUGACUAAUUUUUCUGUGGUGCCCUAGUCCUUCUAGCCUCAAAAAACGUGGCUCAAGUCUGUAGGAGAGAGGAAGCAAACUAUCUCCUUGUCUCCCCCUACCUCCUUCUGCACCCUUCUUCUUCUGCCUGUCCCCGUAUUUGUGCCUGUGUCCAAGCCCCAAUGUCUGUGCCAAGAGGGAGAAGAUGUGAAGGUGGAUUUCAAUCUCCAAUAACUUUCAGUUGUAUCGGUUUCCUGACAAAGAGGAAAAUGAGCCCAAACUUUCAAACUAUGGGAGAAAAGACUUAGCAGGACAGCAGUGACUGAGGGUGGGUUUUUGCUUCUGGGAAGAACUAAGCUGAAGAGCUUCUCAGCACUGACAUUGAAUGAAAGACUAAACUGAGGUCUGCUGCAGGAGCAAUCCUUUGGUUUGGAAUCAGUCUUGAGCUGAGCGUUAAUGAUUCCUCUGUGAGGAGACUAUUUUUCCCCUCCAGUUCAUUGGAAACAAAUGUGAGAUGAAGACCUGAUCUGACUGACAGAUUAAAUGACUUUAAUGCAUAUAAUAUUUAGAUAAAACAGUCGCACAUAAUUGGAAAUAUCUGUUCUAAUCAAAGGUCUUUGAAAGCAAAUUAGUCUUCCCUUCUUCCUGCUUCUUUCAUGGUGAGUUCACUUUCAAGGUGUGAUAACAAAGUCACUCCUUCCUUGUAAUCCUUUCCCAGAUAGAAGUCAGGGAAGAUUUGCUCAAGCCAUGCAGAACUCUAAGGCAUGAGACAUAAUCCGACCUCUCAGGAUGCUUUUUCAGUUCAUCCCUUCUCAGUUUCCACUGAGAUCUCAGUGAUGUCUCCCAGUGGUGAAAUAUCCCACUAUAAAUCCUUACCAGCCUUAGCAGGAGCUAAUUUACCUCAGUAGUUACUAAUAUGCAGAAGUAUUAGGUACUUGCUAGCUGUUUCUUUUUCC
rnacentral:lncRNA from 1 species